UUAAAAUUCUUCUCCAUUCACGAUGGUUUGUAAACCCAUGUUUUUAAUACAUUCAUAUUUGGGUUUGUAAACCCAUGUUUUUAAUACAUUUCGUCCUUGUAUUUUUUACAGAAAGCAAAGUUUGAAAUUUAUUGCCGAAAAAACUCAAAAUUUCGACGACUUGCAAGGUUCCGAUGAAAUCACAAAUUCUCAACGCAAAUUGAUAGCUGGGGAUGCAAGGAAUAAUUCUAUGGCAAAAUCCCCAAUUAUUACAACUCCCACUGAGUUCAAUUUCAAAAUUCUAAUUUGGUGAAUUCAAAGGAAAUUGAUAAUUUGCCGGCUUUGAUUCAAAAUUUCCAACAAGUUCUAAUAAAAAAUAACGUUAGAAAUGCUGGUAAGUCAAAAGCCACUUCAGAAAAUGAUCAUAAUUCAUCCAAUUGCGAUUUUUUGAUUACUACUUCGAUUAAUUUGGUCGGAGAUGGUGCUCGGGUGAUCGUAAAUCAAAUUGGUCAAAGAAAUUCGAUUGAAAAUGAGAUGGAAAAAUUGAGAACCGACCUCUCUUGUUUUCUCUCAAUUUCUCACUGUCUCUCUUGAUUCUCUCUCCCUCUCUCGAUUCUCCCCACUCUCGAUUCUCUUUGAUAGUGUAUGUAUCACAGUGUGUGUAGUGUUCUCCGGUAGGUGAGUGUGUGCGUUCGUUUUUCGAUGACAGUAUGUGUGUAUGGUCAGUGUUUUUUGAUGGCAGUGUGUGUGGUCAGUGUGUAUAUGAUAAUGUGUGUGUAUGGAAAUAUGUGUGUAUGAAAGAGUGUGUGUAUAUAUAUGAUUAUGCGAGUAUUGUAAUGAAAAAAAAUAAAAUAAAGGUUUAUAAUGAAAAUUGAGGGGU
rnacentral:lncRNA from 1 species